rnacentral:rRNA from 1 species
AGAGUUUGAUUCUGGCUCAGAUUGAACGCUGGCGGCAUGCCUUACACAUGCAAGUCGAACGGCAGCGCGGGGCAACCUGGCGGCGAGUGGCGAACGGGUGAGUAAUAUAUCGGAACGUGCCCUGGAGUGGGGGAUAACGCAGCGAAAGUUGCGCUAAUACCGCAUACGAUCUAAGGAUGAAAGCAGGGGACCGCAAGGCCUUGUGCUCCUGGAGCGGCCGAUAUCUGAUUAGCUAGUUGGUGGGGUAAAGGCCUACCAAGGCAUCGAUCAGUAGCUGGUCUGAGAGGACGACCAGCCACACUGGAACUGAGACACGGUCCAGACUCCUACGGGAGGCAGCAGUGGGGAAUAUUGGACAAUGGGCGAAAGCCUGAUCCAGCCAUGCCGCGUGUGUGAAGAAGGUCUUCGGAUUGUAAAGCACUUUAAGUUGGGAGGAAGGGCAGUUACCUAAUACGUAUCUGUUUUGACGUUACCGACAGAAUAAGCACCGGCUAACUCUGUGCCAGCCGCCGCGGUAAUACA